rnacentral:rRNA from 1 species
GAUGAACGCUGGCGGCGUGCCUAAUACAUGCAAGUCGAGCGAACAGACGAGGAGCUUGCUCCUCUGACGUUAGCGGCGGACGGGUGAGUAACACGUGGAUAACCUACCUAUAAGACUGGGAUAACUUCGGGAAACCGGAGCUAAUACCGGAUAAUAUAUUGAACCGCAUGGUUCAAUAGUGAAAGACGGUUUUGCUGUCACUUAUAGAUGGAUCCGCGCCGCAUUAGCUAGUUGGUAAGGUAACGGCUUACCAAGGCAACGAUGCGUAGCCGACCUGAGAGGGGGAUCGGCCACACGGGAACUGAGAACCGGCCCAGACCCCUAGGGGGGGCAGAAGGAGGGAAUCUUCCGCAAGGGGGGAAAGCCUGACGGAGCAACGCCGGGGGGGGGAAGAAGGUCUUCGGAUCGAAAAACUCUGUUAUUAGGGAAGAAAAAAUGUGAAAGUAACUAUGCACGUUUUGACGGUACCGAAUCAGAAAGCCACGGCUAACUACGU